GACGAGCGCUGGCGGCGUGCUUAACACAUGCAAGUCGAACGAAGAGCGACGGAAGCUUGCUUCUAUCAAUCUUAGUGGCGAACGGGUGAGUAACGCGUAAUCAACCUGCCCUUCAGAGGGGGACAACAGUUGGAAACGACUGCUAAUACCGCAUACGAUCUAAUCUCGGCAUCGAGGAUGGAUGAAAGGUGGCCUCUACAUGUAAGCUAUCACUGAAGGAGGGGAUUGCGUCUGAUUAGCUAGUUGGAGGGGUAACGGCCCACCAAGGCGAUGAUCAGUAGCCGGUCUGAGAGGAUGAACGGCCACAUUGGGACUGAGACACGGCCCAGACUCCUACGGGAGGCAGCAGUGGGGAAUCUUCCGCAAUGGACGAAAGUCUGACGGAGCAACGCCGCGUGAGUGAUGACGGCCUUCGGGUUGUAAAGCUCUGUUAAUCGGGACGAAAGGCCUUCUUGCGAAUAGUGAGAAGGAUUGACGGUACCGGAAUAGAAAGCCACGGCUAACUACGUG
rnacentral:rRNA from 1 species